rnacentral:rRNA from 1 species
UGUUGUAAAAAACGGAGGACGACUCGGUCAGGUCUUUGCCCUAGCAGGUUUCGUAGGCAAUGUAUUGAAUUGUCUAGCCAGUCACGGGUGGCGGAGAAUCAGGGUUCGAUUCCGGAGAAGGAGCCUGAGAGACGGCUACUACAUCUAAGGAAGGCAGCAGGCGCGCAAAUUUCCCAAUGCUCAACGAGCGAGGAAGUGACGAUCAAUAACAAUGUGUGAUUUUUUAAAAAUUAUGCAAUUGGAAUGACUACAAUUUAAAGAGUUUAAGGAGGAUCAAUUGGAGGGCAAGUCUGGUGCCAGCAGCCGCGGUAAUUCCAGCUCCAAUAGGAUAUAUCAAAGUUGUUGCAGUUGAAAAGCUCGUAGUUGAAUUUUUGAUGAUUAGAUGUUUUUUUAUGAUUUCGUUAAGAUUUUAUUAAAAGACCGAUCAUCACUUUUGUGGAUUAAUAUAUAAUUUAAAAGUCAAAUUUUAAGUCAUAUACCACUCAGUUACUGAGAGCAAAUUGGAGUGCUCAAAGCAGGCUUUAUAGCUUUGAACAUAUUAGCUUGGAAUAACAAGAUAGGACAACAUGUUCAUUUUGUUGGUUAUGAAUUCAUGUCGUAAUGAUUAACAGAAACAGUUGCGGGGGUAUUCGUACUGGAAAGUCAGAGGUGAAAUUCUUGGAUUUUUCCACGACGAACGACUGCGAAAGCAUUUACCAAGGAUGUUUUCAUUAAUCAAGAACGAAAGUUAGGGGAUCGAAGAUGAUUAGAUACCAUCGUAGUCCUAACCGUAAACAAUGCCGACUCGGGAUUGUCUUUGUUUAUUUAAUUCAAAUAUAAUACAAGGCAGCACCGUAUGAGAAAUCAAAGUCUUUGGGUUCCGGGGGGAGUAUGGUCGCAAGGAGGAAACUUAAAAGAAUUGACGGAAGGGCACACCAGAGGUGGAGCCUGCGGUUUAAUUUGACCCAACACGGGGAAACUUACCAGGUCCAGACAUGAGAAGGAUUGACAGUUUGAAAGCACUUUCUUGAUUUCAUGGGUGGUGGUGCAUGGCCGUUCUUAGUUGGUGGAGUGAUUUGUCUGGUUGAUUCCGAUAACGAACGAGACUUCCGGAGUAAAAUGGCUUUUCAAAUAAUUUACGUUAUUUUGUAGUCUCUUUUCUCGACAACUUGGUUUUACCAAGGGGAAGCAGGAAGCGAUAACAGGUCUGUGAUGCCCCUCGAUGUUCUGGGCUACACGCGCGCUACAAUGACGAGUUCAACGAGUUUGUUUAUUCCUUACCUGAAAGGGUGUGGGUAAUCUUUUCAAUGCUCGUCGUGAUGGGGCUAGAUUUUUGCAAUUAUUAAUCUUCAACGAGGAAUCUCUAGUAUGUGCAGUUCAUCAGACUGCGCAGAAUGCGUCCCUGCCCUUUGUACACACCGCCCGUCGCACCUACCGAUUGGACGAUCCGGCAAGAUGUUUGGAGUUGUUUAUUGAAUUAUUUCGGUAAUUUUUUAUAAAUGAUGAAGCUCUUCAAACCUUAUCGUCUAGAGGAAGGUGAAGUCGUAACAAGGUU